rnacentral:lncRNA from 1 species
CUAUGACGAAGGAAAUACGUAGAGCGGUAUCGAGUUGUGAUUAUGGCGAAUUCACAGCAGAGGCCCGAUUCAAUUCAUUUGCAAGAGAAACAAUCGAGCCCCCCAGAGAGUUCAUUCGGCAUGUUAAACGACUGAAACGCCCCCUUAAGCGAACAAGCUGAAACCACUGAGAGCAGAGGUACGUAAAGUUGUUCAAACUUCGAAUGAAAGUGAAAGCGCACAAACUUCGGCUGUUUCAAUGUUUAUAAAAAAUUAUAACAAAUAUGGUAAAAAGUGCAUUAGUUACUGAUAUAUAAUUUUCUUCUUUAAAAUGUAAAUUGCAUAUAUACAUAAGUGUUUGUCGUAAUUUUUUUGAUUAUGAUGCAUCUGAUGGUUAUCCACUGAAGGAUAGAAUAGGAUAGAAAAACCAAAAAUAUGCUAAUAUUUUUAUAAGUGUUUUAAAUAUAAAGCAGGGUUGCCGUACAUUUCAAGAUUACAACUAUGGAUUAUUUAUAUGUUGUUUAUGUUAAGAUUUACACAAAUUUUUCAUAUAUACAUUCAAAUUAUCAUAAAUUUAAUAAAUGUAGAAAAAGUAUAAUAUAUAAAAUAAUAUAGAAAAAGUAUAAAUUAAAUUAUAUAGAAUUUUGUUAACAUAUCUGACUUUAGUUAAAAAAAAAAAAUUUUUUUAACAACAUAUUUUUUAUUUUCUGAAUUUUUUAUGCUCUACAAAUCAUUGUUUAAAUAGAUAUGUAAACUACACUUUACAUGCAGUGUAUAUGUAGAGUAUUUAUAUUUCACAUUAGUAAUACGUGUGUGCAUAUUAAAAAAUUUAAUUUUUUUAAUAUUUGUAUUUAUGAAAAAAAAAAUUUAUUAAGAAAUGUAUUUAAAAUAAUAAUUACUUAUAAAGAACUCAAUAGUAGUAAUUGGUUGGAUCCAAAAGUAAAGUCCAAUCACAUUUCAACAAAAGUUCCUUGAGAAUUCACUAAUUUUCCAAACAAGAAAAAACACUGAGAAUUCCAGGUUUUCUAAAUUUUUCUAGGUAAUAUAGACACUCCGUUUGAGUAAAGUAUUAAAAAAUAUAGUAAUAAUAUCCAAGUACGUGUAAUUACAACAAGCAGACGAACGGUUAAUAUAAACGAGGCGCAUGUAAAAACAUUUAUGUAUUUUUAUUAACAUUUUUACAUUUUUUUUAAUAGUUACAUUAUGAUCUGUGCUUCGCAUUUAUUUUAUACAAAGAUAGAUAUUAUAGGUAGACAGUAAUGCGCACAUCAUCCCUCAACUGCGUUAACCGCGUGAGGCACACUUCCUCGCGCAACAUCUCAAUUUCGUAAACAAUAAUUUUUUUGUUUUUUUGUCCAUAUCUGUAUUUUGUUCAUAUAUAUUUAUAUAUAUAUCAAUAUAUUUCCGUGUAUCACUUUACAAUUUUAAACGGAAAUACUUUUCCUAAUGUUUCGCCGUCGUCCGUUGGCCUUUGUUUCUUUUCAUCUUUCUUCAUCAUUUUUUUCAUUUUUGCCGUUCACACUGACAAAAUUGUACGCUCGACGCAAUAUUAUACAACAAUUUGUCAUAUAAUGUAUAAUUUUUACAGAACGUUAUUGAAUGUAAUUCUUUAUAAUCGUUAUGUUGAACAACUAAUUAAAAUAAACUAAUGGCAUCCAUUAGAAACAUUAAAUGACAAUAAACAAAAUUUAUACAAAUAUCUCACGGCCUUUUAUUGAUUACAUCUCAAACAUUACUUUACAACUUACUGUAGCCAAAUCGCUUUUUUCUCUUGAUUAAAGAUUAUACCUCAAUAUUUAUAAAUCGAAUCUCUCAUCAUCUAAUAAAUCAAGUAAUAAAAUUAGUAUUCAAACUCCGUUUCUGAAAAAAAUAAA